rnacentral:RNase_P_RNA from 2 species
UUAGUAAAACAGACGGUCGCACAAGUGUGAGGAAAGUCCGGGCUUUAUAGGGCAGGAUGCCGGAUAACAUCCGGUGGAGGCGACUCCAAGGAAAGUGCAACAGAAAAUAACCGCCGAAAGGUAAGGGUGAAAAGGUGGUGUAAGAGACUACCGCUUGUAUGGUAACAUAUGAGGCCGUGUAAACCCCAUCCAAAGCAAGACCAAAGCGAAUAAGGGCUGCCCGUCCGAUAUUCAGGUAGGUUGCUAGAGCCUUGUGGUAACAUAAGGACCAGAUAGAUGACCGUUUAAUACAUAACCCGGCUUAUGUUUUGCUUAGGCU